UACGAAGGGGGCUAGCGUUGUUCGGAAUCAUUGGGCGUAAAGGGUGCGUAGGCGGGUUUUUAAGUCAGGGGUGAAAUCCUGGAGCUCAACUCCAGAACUGCCUUUGAUACUGAAGAUCUUGAGUCCGGGAGAGGUGAGUGGAACUGCGAGUGUAGAGGUGAAAUUCGUAGAUAUUCGCAAGAACACCAGUGGCGAAGGCGGCUUACCGGUCCGGUUCUGACGCUGAGGCGCGAAAGCGUGGGGAGCAAACAGG
rnacentral:rRNA from 1 species